AUGGAUCCAGAGUACCUACGGUCGGGCCUACUGACUGAAAAAAGCGAUGUCUACAGCUUUGGAGUUGUGAUACUGGAACUUAUUAGUAGGCAGCAGGCAACACAUUCUGAUGGUAGUGGAUUAGUAGACAAUUUCCUUGCAGCCCACAAAGAAAAUAGAGUUGUUGCAUUGUUUGAUAAGGCAUUUACAAGGCCGAGAGAUUUGGAGCUUCUUGGUAAUCUUGCAAGGAUCGCUAUACAAUGUCUUAAAGAUGAUGUGAAUCAAAGGCCAUCAAUGGUGGAGGUAGCUGAGCGCGUUCUUGCAAUUUAUCAAUCUCAUAUCACGCUAAUUCAGUGA
rnacentral:rRNA from 1 species